UCAGAACACACUAGAUUCGUGUUCGUAUUUUACAGGCUAUAUAUAUACUUGGUGACCCUCUUCCCAGGAUAUAUUGCAGGUCUAACCUCUAGCCUUGCUUGGCAUAAAUAUUUCUGCCUUUAGCACUGGAGGUCUCAUAACGAAAAUCUUGCAGAAAAAAUUAGACAACUGUGAACUGGGUGAAAGUUCAUUUGUGUUAAGAAAGAAAAGAAGAUAAGAAAGAAAAUUCCUCCAGCCACAUUCUUACUUUGGACUAAUGUUCACCCAUGUGAAACAGAGCAUUUUUUCCUCUUCCUACAG